UCGGUUCUCUCCUUUCUUUUUUCUCUUUUCGGCCACCAACCAGGUUCCCCCCCUAUUCAGCCGCCAAACCCUCCUCUUUGUCUUGCCUUUUUUUCAAGCCCCGUUGCCCUUUUUUUCUCUUUCUUUUCCUUUUCAAAAUAUCUAUCCUACAAGUGUCUAGACACCUCACCAUCUAGGUGAGGUGUUGUCAAAUGCAAAAAGGGACACUUGUCUCUAUCCAUGAUCCCCACUUGUCAUUAUUUUUUUUUUGCUUUUUCUUUUUCUCUCUUUUUUUAGUACGAAGACAAAAAUAAAUAAUAAAAUAAAAUGAACUAGAACAAAAUAAAAUAAAAAAAAAUAAAAAUAAAAGCCCUAGAAUUGAAACAAAUAAACCUAUUAAAUUAAUUAAACAAAAUAAAAUUUAAAAAACAAAAAUUUGGUGUCUACACAUAGUUUCAAUAAAAAUAAUCAUUUUCCCAACAUUUGAGACCAAUCAUCAUGUUUUUUUUUUAUUUUUAAUUUGGUUUGAAGCAUAGAUUUUAUUGCUAUAGUAUUAUUCUUUAUUUUUUAGUACAAAAACACAAAUUUUUAUCAAUAUAGGUGGCAAAAUUUGUUAAUUACAUAUAAGUGAAAAUAUACUUUUAUAAUUUGCAAAUAUUUUAGCCCUGCAAUUUUUUAUAAUUGCAGCACUAAAGUACAUCAUUAAUUGAAAAUAACGAAAGUCAAAUUUUAUGGUUAUAACAGACUUUCAUUAAAAAUAAUCAAAUGCUAUUAAUAAGACAUUAUUAUUAAGUCAAAAUCAAAGAAAAUUUAGUGACGACAUAAUGUUAUCACUAAUUUAUUCAAGAUUAUAAUGACAAGAAAAGUCGUCACUAAUUAAAUUGCUAGUUUUUAAUAUUGUCAAUUGCUAGUUUUUAAUACUUUUGUGAAAAUAUUGAUAAUGGUUGAGAAAAUUUUGUUACAUUACUGCAAGUGAUAAAUGUACUUUUGUUCUUUUUCAAACAUUUAUUUUAAUGUUUAAUUUUGUUUAAAAUUAUUGUACUAGUAUAGAUUUGCAAGACAAAACUUAAGUUCUCAAUAGUUAAAAAAUUCAUUACAGAGAAAACACAAAGUAGUAGUUACAAAAUGUGUAUAAAUUACAGAUAUUUUGUUAAUUGCUUUGUAGUACUUUGUUAUUCCUCUGCUAAUACUACUUGGCAUGUAGUACAAAGGAUAAAUCUGUCAUAAAUUUCUUAUUCCAUUGAUAAAAAGACCUGCCUGCCUUAUAACUAUUGUAAUGAAAGAUAUAUCUUUAGAAUUUAUAACAAAUUAUUACUUAAGUUUGAGAAAAUUAUAAAAUAUUUAUGCAUAGUUUAUCAAGAUACCAUUCGCAAUUUCCUAAUAAAAAAUAGGGGCUAAAUUGUAAAAGCUAGGGUGCCAUAAUAGAAAUAAUAAAAUUGGUGUAUUACAUAUGGGGGUUAAAUUGCAAAAGUUAGAGUGCCAUAGUAGAAUUAAUGAAAUUGGUGAAUUACAUAUGGGGCUAAAUUACAAAAGUUAGGGAGUAAUAAUAGAAUUAAUGAAAUCGGUGUACUACAUAUGGGGCUAAAUUGAAAAAGUUAAGGUAUCAUAAUGGAAUUAAUGAAAUUUAUUACAACAUUUGGGGCUAAAUCGCAAAAGUUAGGGUGGCACAGUAGAAUUAAUGAAAGUGACUUAGAAAUAAGUACUUUAAACAGUGACGAUUAAUUCUUGUCACUAAAUCCGAAUCGGUAGAGUGACAGUGACGAUAUUAGAAGUUGUCACUAUAUAGAUCAUUUUAGUGACAACUUUUUCAAGGUUGUCACUGAAGACUUAGUUGCUUUGAGCAAUUAUGACAACUUUCCUUGUCGUCACUAAAUAACCACUUUUUGUGACGACUUUUGUCGUCACUAAAAAAUGUUGUCACUAAUGACCAUAUUUCUUGCAAUGUAGUUUGUGACGAAAAUAACGGGUCGUCACUAAACAUUUAGUUGCUUUGAUGCAAUUGUGACAACUUUAGGUGUCGCGACUAAAGAAACCCCUUUUGUGACGACUUAUUGUCAUCACUAGAGAAUGUUGUCACUAAUAACCUUUUUUUUAGUGAUCAGUGACGACAACAAAAAGUUGUCCGUAACUAGGCCAAGCAAUAGUGAUGAUGUUUUUAAUGUCGUCACUAUUGUGUGUUCCAAACACUCCCGCGCUCUUGCUAAAUCUUGGCGGGAAUUUACUAGUGACGACUUUUCUAAGUUGUCACAAAUGAGUUGGCUCCCAUUAGAGGUUUGUGACGAGUUAGAAAGUCAAAUAUUACCCUUUUGUUGCAAGAUCAAAUCAGAAAAUCUGGUUUGGUGACAGCUAGCAAAAACAAAGGGGUAGCAGUGGUUUUCAAAAUAACAAAACAAAAAUGCAGCGAAAAUGUUUAACUCUUGUUUGAAGUGCCGAACCAAAACAUUCAAGAAAACAUGCUAAAGAUCAGAUCUUGAAUUUGAACAAAAUACUAAACAUGCUAAUCCAACACCACUUAUCUAAUCCACCUUUUCAAUAUAAGACCAAUCAGCAGGUUGGAUGGCUGAAACUUGGUGAGCAAUUGCAGAAAAAAAAAACAGCAAAGAGGACUGCAAAAAUUUUAUUCUGCUGCAGAUUUGAUGCUCAUCAAAAUGCAACCAAAAUGGCUUAGAGCUCUGCCAUAACUUCAAACAAACUCACAAGAUAAAAAUCUUAGGCACAACCAUAAUCUUGCAAUAAAAACUCAGUAUUCACAGCAAAACAACCUCGCAGAUCAUCGGAUGAAGGAAACUAACAGCUUUCAUUCAAAAAUGGCAGAAAUGAAACAACAAUAGCCAAACUGAAAAACAUAUUCUACUAAAGGGAAAUUGAUACGGGUCAACUUAUUCAUAUGCUAAGUGUAGAAUCCUUUGAAAAGAACAUACAAAGCCAUGAGAAACUUUUCUUUUGAGCAACAAAUAUUCUCUGCAAUAAUUUUAUUCCCAACCGUGGCUUUCUUCUAAUUCAUCAUUUCAAAUCUAUUGCACAACCACAAGGGAAAAGCAGGGAGCUACAGCAUACCAUCAAAACCCAACCUCUUGCAUAAUUGCCAAAAACGUCAACUACCCAACUCUAGUAAACAAAAUUUCUGGGAUAAGAACACGCAAAAUGCAAGCAAAAUCGUCUUCAAGCAAGACUGUCGGUUAGGUAUUUCGUCAAACACCACAUGAGCAUAAGAAAUUUUAGCUAAUCUCUCGCUCAAUUGAUGUAAAGCAGCACCCAAAAUUAUCAGAAAUCCCAAGAAAAUCCAACCAAAUCAACACAUAAAACACGUAUAAUCAUAAAAUUAUGGACCAUCAACAGGGGAAACGCAACAACCAAGUCAUGGCAGACCCAUUUGAAAAACUUUCCAAAACUUGUGAUCAAGGAAAAAAAAUGAAAUACAAAUGAAAGGGAUAACUUACGGUGGACUGCUAGCGGCGGUGCUCUUCUGGCAGCAGGACUGGAGGCAGUCGGGGAUGGCGGUGUCCUUGAGAUCGACUGAGAUAGGCAGAGUAAGCCUUAGCGUUUGAUUAUAGGGGGUUUUCCGGCGGCUUGGGGGGGGCUUAAGCCCCCACCAGCCCCCCCUUAAAUCCGUGGCUGAUUGCACAACCACAAGGGAAAAGCAGGGAGCUACAGCAUGCCAUCUUAGCAAAAACAAAACCCAACCUCUAGCAUAAUUACCAAAAACUUCAACUACCCAACUCUGGUAAACAAAAUUUCUGGGAUAAGAACAACGCAAAACGCAAGCAAAAAUCAUCUUCAAAGCAGGACUUUCGGUUAGGCAUUUCGUCGAACAGCAAAUAGGCACCAAAAUUUCACCGACUUUUUUUGCUCAAUUAAGGUCAUUUUCAGCCCCAAAAGUUUGCCAGAAACACAGCAAACAGUCCAAUUAACACAUAUAGCAUGCGUAUUAAAAAAUCAUGAACAAACAACCGAAAAUUGCAACCAAACACAGUCACGGCAGCCUGUUUCAAAGGCUUGAACAAAACUGAAGUUUUAAAGAAGAAAAGACAGCUUACCGUGCUCUUGCUUGAUGAAAAUUGGCCGGUGAUGAUGGUGGAUUCGGUGAAGUGGCGGCGCUGGCGGUGGUCGACGGCAGUGGUGAUUCUGGUUCUUACUCUCCUCUGCCUCCGUUUUGAUUUUUCCCUAGCCCGAAGCUUCUUUCUUCCUCUUGUUCUGGUUCCUGCUCUUGUCUUCCUCUCAGAAACUCCCCGAAGUUCUCCCUUUCACUUUCGCGUCUCCCUUUUCUCUAACCCUAGCAGUCCAUUUUCCUCUUAGUUUUCUGCUUUGUUCCGCCGCCCCUUGUCUUUCCUUUGCUUUGUUCUUUUUAGCCCAAACCUCUCUCGGCCUUCUCUGUUUUUCCCCACCGAAGCCCCCCUCUCGGUUCUCUCCUUUUUCUUCUCCUUGUUCUCAGCCCCUCUGUUUUCCCCUUGCGUUUUUGCUCUUUUUUCCUCCUCUGCCCGUCAGCCGCCACCCUCUUUUCCUUUUCUCUGUUUUUUGUUUUCGUUGAGCUUCCCUCUCCGUCCUUUUCCCUUCACUCAGCCGAAGCCUCUCCUCAGCCUUCAGCCGCUAAACUUCCCAUUUUUUCCUUUCAAUCUUUCUCUUUCUUUUUCUUUAGCCUCCGAUGAAGCACCUCCUUUUUUUCCUUUUCGUUUUCCACGGUUCCUUUUCAUCCGCCACCCCCUUGGUUUUUCUUUUACUCUGUUUUUUCCAGCCGUCCUCCCCUCUCGGUUCUCUCCUUUCUUUUUUCUCUUUUCGGCCACCAACCAGGUUCCCCCCCUACUCAGCCGCCAAACCCUCCUCUUUGUCUUGCCUUUUUUUUUCAAGCCCCGUUGCCCUUUUCUUCUCUUUCUUUUCCUUUUCAAAAUAUCUAUCCUACAAGUGUCUAGACACCUCACCAUCUAGGUGAGGUGAGGUGUUGUCAAAUGCAAAAAGGGACACUUGUCUCUAUCCAUGAUCCCCAUUUGUCAUUAUUUUUUUUUUGCUUUUUCUUUUUCUCUUUUUUUUUAGUACGAGACAAAAAUAAAUAAUAAAAUAAAAUGAAUUAGAGCAAAAUAAAAUAAAAUAAAAUAAAAAUAAAAAUAAAAGCCCUAGAAUUGAAACAAAUAAACCUAUUAAAUUAAUUAAACAAAAUAAAAUUAAAAAAACAAAAAUUUGGUGUCUACACAUAGUUUCAAUAAAAAUAAUCAUUUUCCCAACAUUUGAGACCAAUCAUCAUGUUUUUUUUUAUUUUUAAUUUGGUUUGAAGCAUAGAUUUUAUUGCUAUAGUAUUAUUCUUUAUUUUUUAGUACAAAAACACAAAUUUUCGUCAAUAUAGGUGGCAAAAUUUGUUAAUUACAUAUAAGUGAAAAUAUACUUUUAUAAUUUGCAAAUAUUUUAGC
rnacentral:lncRNA from 1 species